AUUGAACGCUGGCGGCAGGCCUAACACAUGCAAGUCGAACGGUAACAGGAAUCAGCUUGCUGAUUUGCUGACGAGUGGCGGGCGGGUGAGUAAUGUCUGGGAAACUGCCUGAUGGAGGGGGAUAACUACUGGAAACGGUAGCUAAUACCGCAUAACGUCGCAAGAGCAAAGAGGGGGACCUUCGGGCCUCUUGCCAGCGGAUGUGCCCAGAUGGGAUUAGCUAGUAGGUGGGGUAAAGGCUCACCUAGGCGACGAUCCCUAGCUGGUCUGAGAGGGUGACCAGCCACACUGGAACUGAGACACGGUCCAGACUCCUACGGGAGGCAGCAGUGGGGAAUAUUGGACAAUGGGCGCAAGCCUGAUGCAGCCAUGCCGCGUGUAUGAAGAAGGCCUUCGGGUUGUAAAGUACUUUCAGCGGGGAGGAAGGGAGUAAAGUUAAUACCUUUGCUCAUUGACGUUACCCGCAGAAGAAGCACCGGCUAACUCCGUG
rnacentral:rRNA from 1 species